rnacentral:rRNA from 1 species
CUACGGGGAAGCAGCAGUAGGGAAUCUUCGGCAAUGGGGGCAACCCUGACCGAGCACGCCGCGUGAGUGAAGAAGGUUUUCGGAUCGUAAAGCUCUGUUGUAAGUCAAGAACGGGUGUGAGAGUGGAAAAUUCACACUGUGACGGUAGCUUACCAGAAAGGGACGGCUAACUACGUGCCAGCAGCCGCGGUAAUACGUAGGUCCCGAGCGUUGUCCGGAUUUAUUGGGCGUAAAGCGAGCGCAGGCGGUUUGAUAAGUCUGAAGUUAAAGGCUGUGGCUCAACCAUAGUUCGCUUUGGAAACUGUCAAACUUGAGUGCAGAAGGGGAGAGUGGAAUUCCAUGUGUAGCGGUGAAAUGCGUAGAUAUAUGGAGGAACACCGGUGGCGAAAGCGGCUCUCUGGUCUGUAACUGACGCUGAGGCUCGAAAGCGUGGGGAGCGAACAGGAUUAGAUACCCUGGGGUAG